rnacentral:rRNA from 1 species
UACAGAGGGUGCAAGCGUUGUUCGGAAUUAUUGGGCGUAAAGGGAGUGUAGGCGGUUUGUUAAGUCUUCUGUGAAAUCUACGGGCUUACCCCGUAACGUGCAGAGGAAACUAGCAGGCUUGAGUGUCGGAGAGGAUAGGGGGAAUUCCCGGUGUAGAGGUGAAAUUCGUAGAGAUCGGGAGGAACACCAGUGGCGAAGGCGGGUCUCUGGACAGUUCCUGACGCUGAGGCACGAAGGUCAGGGGAGGCAAACGGGAUU